GCGAAAGCGUGGGGAGCAAACAGGAUUAGAUACCCUGGUAGUCCACGCUGUAAACGAUGUCGAUUUGGAGUUUGUUGCCUAGAGUGAUGGGCUCCGAAGCUAACGCGAUAAAUCGACCGCCUGGGGAGUACGGCCGCAAGGUUAAAACUCAAAUGAAUUGACGGGGGCCCGCACAAGCGGUGGAGCAUGUGGUUUAAUUCGAUGCAACGCGAAGAACCUUACCUGGUCUUGACAUCCAUAGAAUUCUGCAGAGAUGUGGGAGUGCCUUCGGGAACUAUGAGACAGGUGCUGCAUGGCUGUCGUCAGCUCGUGUUGUGAAAUGUUGGGUUAAGUCCCGCAACGAGCGCAACCCUUAUUCUUUGUUGCCAGCGAUUUGGUCGGGAACUCAAAGGAGACUGCCGUUGAUAAAGCGGAGGAAGGUGGGGACGACGUCAAGUCAUCAUGGCCCUUACGACCAGGGCUACACACGUGCUACAAUGGCGUAUACAAAGGGAAGCGAAGGUGCGAGCUGGAGCGGAUCUCAUAAAGUACGUCUAAGUUCGGAUUGGAGUCUGCAACUCGACUCCAUGAAGUCGGAAUCGCUAGUAAUCGUAGAUCAGAAUGCUACGGUGAAUACGUUCCCGGGCCUUGUACACACCGCCCGUCACACCAUGGGAGUGGGUUGCACCAGAAGUAGAUAGCUUAACCGCGAGGGGGGCGUUUACCACGGUGUGAUUCAUGACUGGGGUGAAGUCGUAACAAGGUAACCA
rnacentral:rRNA from 1 species